GACGAACGCUGGCGGCGUGCUUAACACAUGCAAGUCGAACGGAAAGGCCCUGCUUUUGUGGGGUGCUCGAGUGGCGAACGGGUGAGUAACACGUGAGUAACCUGCCCUUGACUUUGGGAUAACUUCAGGAAACUGGGGCUAAUACCGGAUAGGAGCUCCUGCUGCAUGGUGGGGGUUGGAAAGUUUCGGCGGGUGGGGAUGGACGCGCGGCUUAUCAGCUUGUUGGUGGGGUAGGGGCUUACCAAGGCUUUGACGGGUAGGCGGCCUGGGAGGGUGAACGGCGACAUUGGGACUACGAGAGGGAGCAGUCUGCUAUGGGAGGCAGCAGUGGGGAAUAUUGUACAAUGGGCGCACGCCUGAUGCAGCAACGCUGCGGUCGGGAUGACGGCCUGUGGGUUGUAAACCGCAUUCGCUUGUGACGAAGCGUGAGUGACGGUAAUGGGUAAAGAAGCACCGGCUAACUACGUG
rnacentral:rRNA from 1 species